rnacentral:rRNA from 1 species
GACGAACGCUGGCGGCGUGCUUAAUACAUGCAAGUCGAGCGAGGUUACUGUUUCGGAUCCCUUCGGGGUGAAGAAGCUUUAACCUAGCGGCGGACGGGUGAGUAACGCGUGGGUAACCUACCCCAAAGUCCGGGAUAACAGCGGGAAACCGCUGCUAAUACCGGAUGCCUUUACCUUGGGGCAUCUUGAGGUAAAGAAAGGUAACGCUUUGGGAUGGGCCCGCGUCCCAUUAGCUAGUUGGUGAGGUAACGGCUCACCAAGGCGACGAUGGGUAGCCGGCCUGAGAGGGUGGACGGCCACACUGGGACUGAGACACGGCCCAGACUCCUACGGGAGGCAGCAGUAGGGAAUAUUGCGCAAUGGACGGAAGUCUGACGCAGCGACGCCGCGUGAGUGAUGAAGGUCUUCGGAUCGUAAAGCUCUGUCCUUGGGGAAGAAGGUCUUCGGACUUGACGGUACCCAAGAAGAAAGCCCCGGCUAACUACGUG